rnacentral:lncRNA from 1 species
GCUAUUCAAACAGUGGGUCCGCUAGAGAAUUAAAACAAACAGGGCUGCGGUGCGGAGAGAAGAGACUAAACUAGACUGAUAUGGUCACUGCGUUCAUGCCUGCAAAUUCCACAACGAGGUUAAUACAGUGAGACCUCAGCACAGAGGGAGCGAGCUUUAGGUUUAGUAAAAGUCUCAUGUACAAUGUUUUUAGGCAUUUGGGGCAAAUCUACUCUUGUUCUGAUGCUUUAUAAUUAAAGGCCCGGCACCUAGUGGUAAAUUUCCUGGUCUGUCGAAUGACAGUGUUGUCUGAAAUUUAUGUGUACAGGCUCGUGACGGCCUCACAUGCGGACGCACAGCUCUCAUGUCUCGUUGACAGAGGUGUCUGCCAAGGCAUCAUCUGGAGGGGGAUUGUGACAGUUUCAGUCAGAGGUGAUGUCAUCACAGCGCGACCCGUGAGGACGAGGGCACGCCGAUCCGCUCGGGCUGUCUGUCGCUGUGGGAGCCGAAGGACUGGAUGUGUUGCUGGAGGUGUGAGAGUGACAGCACAAGUGCCUGCAUGUGUUUAAGUGUGCCAUCUACUAAAAGCUGCCCAUCCUGAAAGGCAACACAAAGUGAAUGUCAGAAAUGUCAGGACGCUAACAUGGCCACCGGCGACUUGGGGAACUGGGAAAUGUGCCCGGCACACUUGGAAGAAAGAACCUGUCCCCACUGCUAUUGAAGACUCCCCUCUCAUGCUGUCUGACCCCUUUUUCUUUUUCGCUUCUCAAUAGAGAUUUUGAUGCCGAGGCUGCUUCAACCGAGCACAAGGGAGAUGGGGAAAUAUUGACUCUGAAAUGCUCUUUUCAAAGCGCAUUCCUCCAUGUCUACAUGCAUUUGAGCGAUCCAUCAUUUGCCGAAUGCCAAUUUGAUAUUAUGCAAAUGCAUUCAGCAGAAUAUCACAAACAUUCCCGGAUUGCGAUGCAUUGCAGAAUGCAGAUUUUAUGUGCUGUGACACUAUGCUGAAUAGCCAAUGAUGUGGGACCGGCCUGUUUGCCUGAAUGCUUGUCACGAGAAAGUGCACUCUAAGCAGAGAAUGGCUGCACACCCGCUCGCUUUAUUUGAUCAAACACAUAAGUUCCUGUCAAAUCAAACUCUUUCAUUCUGACAGAGCAGGAAGCUUUUCAAACCACUUCUGACUGACAAGGCCUUUGUUGCAGUUUGACACAGACACACAUUUUUGUGCAACAAAUAUCAAAUGUAUCAGCUGAUUUGCCAUAUUGAGCUGUUUACUCCCCUGAAGGUGAGCAGUUAGUGUGUGACAAUUAUUUUCACAUGCUGUAUGCGUUAUUUCAUGAUUUAGAGUCAAUUGCAAGUUUUCACUUCUUGUAUGUCAACAAUAUAAUGACUGAA